GGGAUAACAGUUGGAAACGAUUGCUAAUACCGAAUAAAAUGUAAGAGUCAAUUUUACAUUGAAAGGAGCCUUUAAAGCUUCGCGAUUAGAUGGGCCUGCGGCGUAUUAACUAGUUGGUGAGGUAAUGGCUUACCAAGGUGACGAUGCGUAGCCGAACUGAGAGGUUGAUCGGCCACAUUGGGACUGAGACACGGCCCAAACUCCUACGGGAGACAGCAGUUAGGAAUAUUCGUCAAUGGAGGAAACUCUGAACGAGCAAUGCCGCGUGAGUGAUGAAGGUCUUAUAGAUUGUAAAACUCUGUUGUAUGGAAAAAACGACUAGGUUAGGAAAUGAACUUAGUGUGAUGGUACCAUACCAGAAAGCCCCGGCUAACUACGUGCCAGCAGCCGCGGUAAUACGUAGGGGGCGAGCGUUAUCCGGAUUUAUUGGGCGUAAAGCGUGUGUAGGCGGUUUAUUAAGUUUAAGAUUAAAGCCCGGGGCUCAACUCCGGUAAGUCUUAAAAACUGGUAGACUUGAGUACGGUAGAGGCAAACGGAAUUUCUAGUGUAGCGGUGAAAUGCGUAGAUAUUAGAAGGAACACCAGUGGCGAAAGCGGUUUGCUGGGCCGUUACUGACGCUGAGGCACGAAAGCGUGGGGAGCAAAUAGGAUUAGAUACCCUAGUAGUCCACGCCGUAAAAGAUGAGUACUAAGUGUUGGG
rnacentral:rRNA from 1 species